AUUUCUGCUCAAGAAAGUCGAGAAAAAAAAGAAAGAUUACAUGGACACUGGAGAAAAAGGUGGAAACAUGUUCCAAUGAGAACAGCGAACUGCGACGCAAAGUGGAGACUUUGGAGAACACAAACAGCAGCUUCAGUGUCUGCGGGCGGUGGUAGCUGGGAAGGUCCCCUGGUCCUGCCACGUCGCCACCACCCAGACUGGCACCUGCCACAUGCACGGUCGAGGAGCAGUCCCAUGAUACACAGCACAGGCACAAGAGCCAGACAGCCACGUUGAGUACCUGAGCAGCAAUGACACGCAGACAGAUAAAUCCAUACUGAUAGCCUUACACCCUCUCAGAUCUAGCAUGGAACUACAAGCAAAUGAAAGCAGAAAAGUGAUUGAGACGACAGUGAACAAAACUUCCUGAGGUCCUACGCCUCCUCCCGACCCCCAUACUUUCAAAAAUAUUUAGUCAUCUGUGUUGUUUUAUUUGUUAUUAUUACAAUACCCCAUCUCUGCCCCCCAUAAAAAAUAUGAUUGAAAAUAUCUGCAUAGACAUUCAAUUAUACUGGGGAGAUGCAGACCAUUCCUCAAUUAUUUUACUGCCUCUGAUUCCUUCAGGGAAGUUGUGGGUAGGAAUAUGUAGCAAAGUGUUCUCCAGAAUGACUCAUCAGCGUGGUGGAACAUCACUAAUCUGUGCAGUUUUGAAUUCAGAAGCUAUCCGAGCAGCUACGAUUAGCCCUCUUUCUGUCAGAUCUGAUGUCUUGCCGAUCGUAACUGAACCUGAUUUGCAUCAGAGAUGCAGCUUAUUUUUAGGGGGUUGUCGCUAUUUAAAGAAUUCAAAUGGGAAUCCGCCCUAGUAUUUAAAUAGUUUUACAUAUAAAAACACAUUGCCUCUGUAAUUCAUUAUUUGACUUCAUGAAAUAAAAUAUAGAAAGCAGUAGAUUAAGGAAGAGUCCUUAGAGUAUAGCACUGUGUACAUGGCAACACAGCCUAGUGAAUCAUCUGAAUAUUCGAUUCAUGAAAUAGAGCAUUGUACACUGAAGAAAUUUGCUUCAGAGCAUUUGGCUGCAGAGUAAGUACAGAUUGUCAAAUCUUUAAAAAAAAAAAAAUAUAUAUAUAUAUAUAUAUAUAUAUAUA